rnacentral:rRNA from 1 species
AUUGAACGCUGGCGGCAGGCCUAACACAUGCAAGUCGAGCGGAUGAGUGGAGCUUGCUCCAUGAUUCAGCGGCGGACGGGUGAGUAAUGCCUAGGAAUCUGCCUGGUAGUGGGGGACAACGUUUCGAAAGGAACGCUAAUACCGCAUACGUCCUACGGGAGAAAGCAGGGGACCUUCGGACCUUGCGCUAUCAGAUGAGCCUAGGUCGGAUUAGCUAGUUGGCGGGGUAAUGGCUCACCAAGGCGACGAUCCGUAACUGGUCUGAGAGGAUGAUCAGUCACACUGGAACUGAGACACGGUCCAGACUCCUACGGGAGGCAGCAGUGGGGAAUAUUGGACAAUGGGCGAAAGCCUGAUCCAGCCAUGCCGCGUGUGUGAAGAAGGUCUUCGGAUUGUAAAGCACUUUAAGUUGGGAGGAAGGGCAGUAAGUUAAUACCUUGCUGUUUUGACGUUACCGACAGAAUAAGCACCGGCUAACUCUGUGCCAGCAGCCGCAGUAACAC